UACGGAAGGUCCGGGCGUUAUCCGGAUUUAUUGGGUUUAAAGGGAGCGUAGGCCGUUUGUUAAGCGUGUUGUGAAAUGUCGGGGCUCAACCUGGGCAUUGCAGCGCGAACUGGCAGGCUUGAGUGCGCGGGAAGUAGGCGGAAUUCGUCGUGUAGCGGUGAAAUGCUUAGAUAUGACGAAGAACUCCGAUUGCGAAGGCAGCCUGCUGUAGCGUAACUGACGCUGAAGCUCGAAAGCGUGGGUAUCGAACAGG
rnacentral:rRNA from 1 species